CCUACGGGAGGCUGCAGUGAGGAAUAUUGGUCAAUGGGCGAGAGCCUGAACCAGCCAAGUCGCGUGAGGGAGUACUGCCCUAUGGGUUGUAAACCUCUUUUGUCGGGGAGCAAAAGCCGGACGUGUCCGGCUGUGAGAGUACCCGAAGAAAAAGCAUCGGCUAACUCCGUGCCAGCAGCCGCGGUAAUACGGAGGAUGCGAGCGUUAUCCGGAUUUAUUGGGUGUAAAGGGUGCGCAGGCGGAUUUUUAAGUCAGCGGUAAAAUCGUGGGGCUCAACCCCAUCCAGCCGUUGAAACUGGGGAUCUAGAGUGUGCGAGAGGUAUGCGGAAUGCGUGGUGUAGCGGUGAAAUGCAUAGAUAUCACGCAGAACCCCGAUUGCGAAGGCAGCAUACCGGUGCACAACUGACGCUCAGGCACGAAAGCGUGGGUAUCGAACAGGAUUAGAUACCCCUGUAGUC
rnacentral:rRNA from 1 species